GUGGGGAAUAUUGCACAAUGGGGGAAACCCUGAUGCAGCGACGCCGCGUGAGCGAAGAAGUAUUUCGGUAUGUAAAGCUCUAUCAGCAGGGAAGAUAAUGACGGUACCUGACUAAGAAGCCCCGGCUAACUACGUGCCAGCAGCCGCGGUAAUACGUAGGGGGCAAGCGUUAUCCGGAUUUACUGGGUGUAAAGGGAGCGUAGACGGCAAGGCAAGUCUGAUGUGAAAACCCAGGGCUUAACCCUGGGACUGCAUUGGAAACUGUCUGGCUCGAGUGCCGGAGAGGUAAGCGGAAUUCCUAGUGUAGCGGUGAAAUGCGUAGAUAUUAGGAAGAACACCAGUGGCGAAGGCGGCUUACUGGACGGUAACUGACGUUGAGGCUCGAAAGCGUGGGGAGCAAACAGGAUUAGAAACCCUGGUAGUCC
rnacentral:rRNA from 1 species